UAACUUCUUUGGAUUUGAAUUUCUUCUGUCAGCAAUAGGAGAGAAGUUCAGUCAGAUGAUUUCUAUCUGUGGGAAUCCAACUUUGACUUGUGGUGAUCCUACCCCUUCCUCAGUCUUUUACAAAUUAAGUGGCCUCCUCACCUGAGACGAGUAGAACUGUAUGCACAGUAAGGCACCAGGACGGAUCUAGACUGGCAAAGAAGUGGUGAGAGAAAUGGGGAAAGGGUUAGGGAAGAAGGGAGAGGACUCUCAACUACAGUCAUAGUGAGACCUUGAGUGCCUCUGCGUUAGUCCUUCCUCUUCCUCUACUCCUUGUGUCUCAGCUGAAGGGCAAACUUCAGGGACAAUCUCAUUUUGUUUCUACCACUGUUCAGGGUCCCACCUUGCGACCCUCUCCUGAGAGGUUGUCCACAACUCUGUCCCACCCCCGUUCUCCAUCUUCUUCCGCCAGAUCUGGGGCUGGGGCAUUGGAGAGGGGAAAGAGGAAACGUCGUGGCUGGCAGGGUAGGAAGGGAUGCGUGUCCAGGUGAGAAAGAGGUGUGACGUGCAGAUGGGAUGCCCGCCGCUAUGACGCUGCCGAGACCCGCGGUGACUGCGUCAGAGUUUCACCCGGGGAGGUGAGCAGCAGCGGGACGGGGGAACGGCGGGGUAGCCAAGCAACGCCGGACGCGCUGACGUCGCCGGGGCGGCAAAACGUCCGCCCGGGCCCGAGGCGGGCGGAGGCAGCUGUGGUUACGUGCGGGGGGCCGGUGACGCAGUCGCGGGGCGCUGGGACGCGGCUUGCGGAGCCGGCCGGCGAGCGCAGGCCCCAGGCUCGGGCGCGGCGGCGGGACAGCACCUACCUUCCCGGCUUCGGGUCCGGGAGUGCGGGGCGCGGAGCCGCCGGAGCGCUGCCUCCCUCCUUCCUCCUCCCCUCGCCCCCGCCCCGCGGCGCGACACACAAUACUCGCCGGAAGCGGAAGCCGCGCCGAGGCUCGUGUCAGUGGAAGCUGGGGUGUCGGCGGGCGGCCGCGGCCGGGUCUAGCGGUGCCUGCGGAAGAAGGAGGAGGAGGGCUGGCGAUGAGAAGCAGCAGGGGGAAUCAAGGGCAAGAAGGGACCCAGAGGGGCAGGUGGCUGAGAUGCUGGCGUCCAGGUGACCCGAGGAAUCCUCUGGAGAUACAGGCCCGCGCAUGCGCGUGCUCGAGCGCUGAAGCCCAUUGCCCGCAGGGCGCUGGACUGGCGCCCCGGCCGGCGAGGCUGUCUAGUCCAGGCUCCAGGCCCCGGCUCUGGCCAGGCGCCGCCGCCUCCCGGUGCAGCUGAAAGUCGACGAAGAGGGCGGGGCGGGGGCGGCUUGUGGACUUCCACACUUUUCCUCUCUUCGGGCCAGUCUGGGGAGAGGGUGGCUAGCUGUGGCGGCGGCCAAUUACGUGGCGGACCUGCGGGGCUAAGCUGGCACGUCACUUCCGACUAGUGGAGUUUUUAGCCUUUUAACAUUCAAGGAUUAGAGCUCCCUCUUUGCCCACUAGCAGGGCAUUAGCUGGUGCUGAAGACAGUGGCUGCUUGGCGAGCCUGGAUCUCCAAGUGACCCCCUCAGCAACUCCUGAUGAACAGGACUGAAGCCAAUAUUAAAGCAAGUCAACCAAAGGUUCUCUGGUGUAGACAAGACAGCAAAAGGACAGACUACCUUGUGGAACCUAGCAUUGUUCUCCUUCUGCAGCACUAAGUAACAUUUGUUCUCCGUUAAGAUCUUUGCAAACCACACACAAGAAUUGCUGGUCAUCCUGCCAAUAGAUGCUGCUCACAGAACCAAAUUUCCUGUGCUGAAUUGUCACUCAUGGGCUUGAGAGUAGGAGACUGGAGACCAAGGUGGCUAGAAUCCAGUUGGGCCUGAUGUCUCCCUGUUGAAAGGGCUCCUUGUGGAAUGAAUAGCACAUGGCUCCUGUGGUGGAUCUGAUAGUGGCAUAGCACCAAGUGAUGCAGGCCUGCCAGGGGCCACAGACACAGAAGAUGCUCCCGGGGUCCCCCAUGUACUCCAGACACACUGCAGGCCACCUCUCCCAGCAGGUUGCCAGUCAUGGGCCCCAUCAUCAUGACUUCUGUCCAAGGUGUGCUCGGAAAUCUCUUCCUUAACUGUGACUUUCUGACAGGUGGAGGAUGUGGUCAGGAGUGGGAAAAGGAUUCGAGACGGGAAGAGGGAGGGGUUCAGGAUGAAGAGAGAUAAUCUGUGCCACAGAUGCUGGCCCUGCAGUUAGCUCCCACCUAGUCCGUGCACACACAUUCUAAUCCCCUCCCAUUCCUUUACAUGCUGCGGCCAGAGAGGCCUUUCUCAAAGUGGAAGUCUCAUCCUCACUUCUCUGGUUACAGUGCUGGGCCAUGGUAACUUACAAGGCUUAGCAGGAACUGUCUGCGCACUCCCCCUUCCUGCCCACUACCUUGUUUCCCUCCAGUUGCGAGAGAAAACAUUGAUUGAGCAUUAACUAUGUGCCAGGCUUGUCCUAAGUCCUUUGCAUGUAUUCACUCAAACAAUCCUCACAACAUUCCUAUCACAUCUCCCAUUUCACAGUGAGGGUUCUAAAGCACGUAGUGGGUGAGGAACUUGUCCAGGGUCACACAACUAAGUGGGGGUGGAGAAACAUCAAAUCUAGGUGGUCCAGGUGGUGGCCAGAACCCAUCAGCACCUCACUACAGCUGCCUCCAGUUUCUCGCUCUAGGAAAUACUCUUCCCUGUCAACUCCUGUUGUCCUCUGGGCUCAGUUGACAUGUCAUCUCCUUGAGGAGGACAUCCUGAGAUGCUCCCCGACUAGGGUGGGCACCCACUUCCACACUCCAAAUGCCUAUUUGACCUGUGUAUCGCUGCAUCCCCACUGCCUGGCAGAUAGCAGGCCCCUAAUAAAUAUGAUUUGAGCAAAUAAAUAUAGUUCUUCAAAAAAUAGGGAGGACUUCUUGCUUCAGGUAAUGGUAGGCUAGGACAUUUGGACCAACCCUCCUGCAGAAAAUAGCCAUUUAUUUUGAUGCAAUAUAUCUGGCUAUGACUAGAGAUUUCAAAUAUUUGGAGGGCUAUUAUGUGAAGAACUAAACUUACUCUUUGUGACAUAGAGGUCAGAAAUUGGUCGUUUCCAUAGAGUAUGAGAGAGACAGAAUUGUGCUCAUCAUAAGUAUCUUUUUUAAAAGUUAGACUUAAUAAAAUGGGCUGCCUUGGUAGGUGGUGAGUUCUCUGUCACGAAAGAGAUUCAGCCACUUGCUCUGAGAAAGCAUGGAGAAUAUCAACAUUGUAAGGGUCGACCACCUCAUCUCUGAGGCCCCCUCCUCACUUAGGUUGCCAUUGCAGGUGGAACACUGGGCUGAGUGUCAAAGAACCUGGGUUCCACAAGCUGUGCGACCAUGGCUGGUUGUUUUGGAUCUCAUUCCUAAUAUCUGUUAGUUAAGCUGACCCGUCAAUACUGACCCACUUCACAGAGUUAUGAAGGGAUUAAAUUAGGUAUUACAUGUAAAUCUGUUUUGUUUGCUUUUUGUUGUUCUUUUUUGUUUUGCUUUUUUCUUUGCAUUAUGAAAUCCCAAGUCAACUUUUUCCAUUCUUUUAUUUUUUUAAAAAUUGACAUCAUCAUUAUAACCACAAAAUAAUUUUUAAAAUGGAAAAAAAAAACUCACCUGCAACCCCACAAUCUAAUACAAUAAUCAUACUUUUUUCCCUUUAUUCUCCUUUAUUGUGACCAAGGAUGACUUUGGGCAUUGCUGUGAGGAACUAUUUCGUUUAACACCCUACUACCUGAACAUGAUGCGUACUCAGCCUUUCACCACCCCCCAAGUAGCUACACAUGAUGUGAUAAUAGUAUUGGUGGUGGUUUUAGAGAGUUGGAGAGAAAACUGAAGUUGGAUUUGGGUAAAAGAAAAAAGAGUGGGAAUUAUUUUUUCUCCAUUCUAAAGCCCAUAAAGCAAUGUUAAUUGUUCCCACCCCUCUGCUAUUCUGUCUCCUCAGGUACUGUGUGCAGAAAUGUGAUUGAGAUUCAAGUCAGGGCCUCUCUGCCCUUUUCCCUCCAGAAACAAAACCAAGAUAAUUUAUCCUGAACACGGUGAAAAAAGGAAGGGAGGGAGGAGAAAAAGUCCGGGUCUCACCUGGGAUUCUCUGUCUCCUGCAACAUGAAGGAUUUAGCCUGGGAGGAGGUGGUGAGAACUCUGGGAGAGAAAAAAGAAGGAAAGAAUAGUUUUACCCAUGCUGAAGUUAAUUUAAACCUUCACCUAGAGAAGCAAAAAAAAAAAACCCACACUUUCCCAUUUUGUGCCUCCCUUCCUAGAGUUUUAGCCAAAGGUUUAGCUAAGUAAUUGGUUUUACCAGCGCACUCACUCCUCCUAUCCCAAGUCUGUUUGACUCCCUCCCCAUCAUCCUCCUCACCUCUUUUCAGGCAGGGUGGGGAUAGCAGCAGGAGGAGAUUUUGGGAGCCUGGCAACUCCUGCAAGGACCGCAGGACAGCCCCUCUGUGGGGAUGCGUGGUGCCCCAUCUGCCGCCCUUCUGAAGAAUGCACUGCCUUCACUUUUUACUGUGUUAGAGUCCAUCCAGACUGUUCUAUCCAAAAAAGUUUCUUUUUCCCCCACAGGCAAUCAGGAAAUGAUUCCUUUCCCGACUGCUUCUGUCUAGUGCCUGGGAAUCUUGAGUCAAUCCCUCAGUAAGUCAGUGACUAGGGAAAUCCCUCUCUGAGCCUCCCAGUUCAUGUUGCUUAGGGAACCUGAUAUUUUCGUGAAACCUGCCUACACAUGGGCAGCCCAACAGCAGAACAAAUGGUGGUGACCAAAGUGAACAAAGAAGUAUAGUUGUGCCAGCUUCGUAGUUGCCCAUGUGGACAAGUCAGCAGGAUCAGGACACGAGGAAGAGUAAAUGUGAGACAGUCAAUGUGACUUCUGCGAUAAACAGAUUUUUAAACCCCGAAAUUUUGCAAAAUUUUGGUGAAACCUGAACUUUCUUCGUUGCAUAUACUGGCACUAUCUGUACCAUCAUACAACUGUCUCACAUUAAAGCUAUUUUUCUUGGGCACUGAUGAGUAAGGUUGGUAUAAGUUCCUCAGAUCAACAAAAACCCAUUUUCCUGUAAGUCUUACAUUUAGUAUUUAAGGAACUAAAACUUAAAUACAUUUUGUGAAAUGGUUGACACUUCACUGAUAAUGAUUUAUUGCUUGGAUUAAUAAAUUUUCCAAAAGUUGUCUUAUGUAGAAUAUGGUUUGCAACCAGCAGAACCAUUAAUCUAUACUGCAAUGAUAUGCACUAUGUAUAAUUGUUUAAAAGCCUCUACUUAAUGAUGUAAAAUGCUCUAUUUAAUUACACAUUUGGGUAAACUGUAUACUAACAUCUGAUGGCAUUUUUCCACUGUUUGUUGCUUUUUUCAAAUACUUUAUUGUACAAAGCUGUUCUUAAUAUUUUUCAAGUUUUUUUCUUUGAAUUUUGCUAAUGUUUUCCUUGAAUUAUGAGCACUGACAGAAUGUGCUUAGCACUUUUGGCUAUUCACACAGCUUUUGAGCAUGAUUUGCAUCCAAUAUUUACAUUGCUAGCAAUAAUAAGCCAUCUGUGAGUUUUGUCAAAAGUUAUUGGGGAUUUUUUAAAUUUUAGAAAUGCAAAUUAUUGUUUCUUUGAACUAACUCUUAUGCAGUUGCAAAGGCAUUUCCAGUUGUUAUAGUUUGUGUACAAUAUCAGGUGUUCCAGAUUAUGAUUCAUUAUUAAUAUCAUUGCUUCCUUGUUCCCUCUGAGGUCCAGAAGAUUCAUGUUUACAAUAUUUAGAAACAAUGUUAAAAAGGUAUCCAAAGUUUGUCACUUUAUUAUUAGUUUGUUCUUAAUAUUCUGUUUAAGUUUUUGAAUUCAUAGAUAUCAAAACGCUGCACAAUUAUGAUUUCCACAGGAAUAACAACACACUAACAAUAAGAACCAAAAACAGCAAAUAGGCUGCCUACAAGUUUUGACAAUAUUAGGAUAAUGAUAAUGACAGUUUUUCUAAAUCUCACAGUAAAGAAUGCAGCAACCCAGCAACACUGCUACCUGUGGCCUCAGGCUGCAGUGUCAGCUCUUCCCUGGGUCUCCAGCCUGCCAGUCUAACCUGAAAAUUAUGUACUUGCCAGCCCCCACAGUCACGUGAGUGAACUGGCCCAGGCUGGUCACCAGGGUCAGUUUCUCUGUGUGUCAUUAAUUCAUUCAGUCUUCAGCAGUCUCUUUGGAGCUGAGAUGUACCUACCAUCUGCCUUUUGGGUGCUUAGGGUGGAGAACCAGAAAAGUAUAACCUAGUGUGUAUCCUCAAAGAGCUAACAAUAUGGGGUGGUACCUAUAGGUCUGGAAACACUUUACUGACUCUGUGAGGCAUACCAGGAGACGUCAGAGAACAGUCCCUCCUCAAAUGCCAAAUGAGAUGCAGAAGAAAUAGUUUGCUCAAGUUCAUGGGCCAGAUAUCCCAGUGGUCAGGGAGUUUCAUGAAUGAGAUGGAACUUUGCAUGGAACCCGAGGGAUGUGUAUGAUUUGAGUAGAUGAAGAAAAUGAGACUUUCCAAGCAGCUAGAAGUUAGGGAGCAGCAAGAUGUGUGGUGGGAUUGAGCACAGUUGGUUCAGAGGAUAGACUGCAGUUUUAAUAAUUUGUAGUAAAUAUCUCCCAACUGUUUGGCACUAUUGGAGCAAGUUCUUGAAUGCCAAAUGAAGGCAUAAAUCAGUAAGAGGCAUAAUAAAAGGCUGAGCAGUGCUUGGCUUUUUACGAACUGAUCCUGAUAGGAGCAGCUGUUCAACAAAGUUGCCAGGUCACCGUUACAUAGUCCCUGCCUUCUAGGGGCUCACUGCCUACUGGGAGAGACAGUCUGAAAGUUGGUGGAGCAUGUAACUGUUGGAUGAGGAGUUUGAGCCUGUGGACUGUGGGACCCCCGAGGAGGGUGUGGCUACUCUAGGCAGAACAAUCCCACAGUUUAUUUAUAUUUAACCUUGAAAUUCAUUAGAGGAUUUUUCAGCAGAGGUUUGGUACUUGUUAAUGUUAAGGUUUGCAUUCUCUAGAACCUCAAGGAAAGCUGUACCGUGCAUAAUGUACCCUCUUAUGUUAAUGUUGUGUACUGUGAUCCUGUUUCAGGGACUUGCACUUAGGAAUCUGUUACAGUGAGCACAGAAGCAGACCUGUGGGCUCAUAGUCUUCACCCCCCACCCAUAUAUACAAGAUGAACAGAGUGGAGGUUAAACAACUUGACUAAACAACACAGUUCAUGGUAAAGCCCAAGACUGUACCUGCCCAUCCACUGCCUUUUCCAUGUAUCCUGGAACUGAGCAUAGACCUCUUCCCAGGCAGAGCUGACAGCAAGUAAAGGAGAUCAUAAUCAGGGGACCAAACAACUUUGUCUAAAGUGUGAAUGUCACCUAAGGAGAAGCUGUGAGAUCAGAAGGGUGGGGCAGAGGAGCAGACACCAUGAGGGAGAGUCCUUGGGGGUACAUCUGCCAGACUGACACUGUCUGGCCUGGGCAGUGGAGGGGCUAGCAGGAACCACAGGUACUGGUGGUGUGGCUACUACCGUUACAACUGCCUGUGCUUGGACAUGGACCCUCUGCAAUAUGCGGCAGUUUCAUUCAUUGCCCCCUACAUUCUACACCAAGUAGAAAUGGAAGGCAAUUGGAUACUUCACAGACAAGAUCUAAGUGGAGAAGGAAUGCGUCCUGUGGCUGCAGAGAUCCUUGGAGCUUGGAGGGGAGAGCUUGAGCCCCACUGAUGAUGACCUCCCACAGCUCGCCAACUCAGCCCUCCCUAAGUCCCCAUCGGGGGCCAAUUCUCACUCUGGGGUUGGGGGGACUCCACCAUAGCUCAUCCAUCAUAGGGAUGUUGGUAUCUACUGUGGGUUGGGUAGGGCCGAUGUGCUGAGGAUGGCUCCCCCACAAGCAAGAGAUGUGGAUUUGGGGAGCUUCCCAUCUUGUGUUGAAGGAACAUAACUCAGAAUAAUAAGAGCCAACUAUAACAAACCCACAGCCAACAUCAUACUGAAUGGGCAAAAGCUGCAGGCAUUCCCCUUGAAAAGUGGCACAGGAUAAGGAAGCCCUUUCUCACCACUCCUAUUCAAUAUAGUGUUGAAAGUCCUGAUCACAGCAGUCAGGCAACAGAAAUAAUAAAGGGCAUCCAAAUAGGAAGAGAGGAAGUCAAACUAUCCUUGUUUGCAGACAGUAUGAUUCUAUAUCUAGAAAACCCCAUAGCCUCAGCCCAAAAGGUCCUUCAUCUGAUAAUUUCAGCAAAGUUUCAGGAGACAAAAUCAGUGUACAAAAAUCACUAACAUUCCUAUACACAGUCGCCAAGCCAAGAGCCAAAUCAGGAGCACAAUCCCAUUCAUAAUUGCCACAAAAAAGAAUAAAAUACCCAGGAAUGCAGCUAACCAAGGAAGUAAAGGAUCUCUACAAUGAGAAUCACAAACGCUGCUCAAAGAAAUCAGAGAUGACACAAACAAAUGGAAAAACUUUCCAUGCUCAUGGCUAGGAAGAAUCAAUAUCAUUAAAGUGGCCAUACUACCCAAAGCAAUUUAUAGAUUCAAUGCUAUUCCUAUCAAACUAUCAAUUACAUUUUUCACAGAACUAGAAAAAACUUAAAAUUCAUAUGGAACCAAAAAGCCUGAGUAGUCAAGGCAAUCCUAAACAAAAAGAACAAAGGUGGAGGCAUCACAUUACCUAACUUCAAACUACAGGGCUACCAUGACCAAAACAGCAUGGUACUGGUACAAAAGCAGACACACAGACCAGUGGGACAGAAUAGAGAGCCCAAAAAUAAGGCCACAAACCUACAGCCAUCUGAUCUUCAACAAAGUUGACAAAAACAAGCAAUGGGGAAAGGUCUCCCUAUUCAAUAAAUGGUGCUGGGAUAACUGGCUGGCCAUAUGCAGAAGAUCGUAACUGGACCCCUUUUACUAUGUACAAAAAUUAAGAUGGUUUAAAGAGUUAAAACCCAAAAUUAUAAAAAUCCUGAAGAUAACUUAGGCAAUACCAUUCUGGACAUAGGAACUGGCAAAUAUUUCAUGAUGAAGACACCAAAAGCAAUUGUAACAAAAGCAAAAAUGGACAAAUUGGAUUUAAGAGCUUUUUCAUAGCAAAAUAAACAACAGGGCAGACAAUCUACCAAAUGACAGAAAAUUUUUGCAAACUAUGCAUCUGACAAGGGGCUAAUAUCUAGCAUCUAUAAGGAAUUUAAACACAGUUACAGGAAAAAAAAAACCCACUCCAUUAAAAAAUGGGCAAAGGACAUGAACAGACACUUUUCAAAAAAGACAUACAUACAGCCAACUAGCGUGUUAAAGAAAACCUCAAUUAUCACUGAUCAUUAGAGAAAUGCAAAAUCAAAACCAUGAUGAGAUAUCAUCUGCCAGUCAGGAUGGCUACAAAAAAGUAAAAAAAUAAUAGAUGUUGGUGAGGUUAUGGAGAAAAGGAACUUAUACACUUGUUAGGAGUGUAAAUUAGUUCAAUCACUGUGGACAGCAGUGUGGUGAUUCCUCAGAGAGCUAAAAACAACUACCAUUUGACUCACCAAUCCCAUUACUGGAUAUUUACCUAAAGGAAUAUAAAUCAUUCCACCAUAAAGACACAUGCAAGUGUAUGUUCAUUGCAGCACUAUUAACAGUAACAAAGCUGGGCACAGUGGCUCACCUCACGACUGUAAUCCCAGCACUUUGGGAGGCUGAGGUAGGCGGAUCACCUGAGGUCGGCAGUUUGAGACCAGCCUGACCAACAUGGAGAGACCCCAUCUCUACUAAAAAUACAAAAUUAGCCAGGUGUGGUGGCUCAUGCCUGUAAUCCCAGCUACUUGGGAGGCCAAGGCAGGAGAAUUGCUUGAACCCAGGAGGCAGAGGUUGCAGUGAGCCGAGAUCACACCAUUGCACUCUAGCCUGGUGAAGGAGCAAGACUCCAUCUCAAAAAAAAAAAAAAAAAAGAAAGAAAGAAAAAUACACAUUCAGAGGAGACAAAAAAUAAAAAACAAUGAUGCAUGCCCACAGGAUCUAGAAAAUAACUUCUUAAGGGCAAAUCUAGGAGUUAUUGGCCUUAAAGAAGAGAUAGAGAAAGAGAUAGGAAUAGAAAGUUUGUUGAAAGGGAUAAUAACAUAGAACUUCCUAAACCUACAGAAAGAUAUUUAUAUCCAAGUACAAGAAGGUUAUAGAACACCAGGCCAAUUUAACCCAAAGAUUACCUCAAGGCAUUUAAUAAUCAAACUCCCACAGGACAAGGGUAAAGAAAGGAUCCUAAAAGCAGCAAGAGAAAAGAAACAGAUAACAUACAAUGGAGCUCCAAUACAUCUGGCAGUAUAUUUUUCAGUGGAAACCUUACAAGCCAGGAGAGAGUGACAUGACAUAUGUUAAAGUGCUGAAGGGAAAAAACCUUUUACCCUAGAAUAGUAUAUCCAGCAAAAAUAUCCUUCAAACAUGAAGAAUAAACAAAGACUUCCCCAGACAAACAAAAGCUGAGGGAUUUCAUCAACACUAGACUGGUCCCAUAAGAAACGCUUAAGGGAGUACUUUGGUCAGAAAGAAACAGACAUUAAUGAGCAACAAAGAAUCAUCUAAAGGUAAAAAACUCACUGUUAAGAGUAAGUACACAGAAAAACCCAAAGUGUGAUAACAUUGUAACUGUGGUGUGUAAGUAGAAAGAAUAAAUGAUAAACCAAUCAAAAAUAGUAACUACAACUUUUCAAGACCAGUCAGAAAAAUAAGAUAAAAUUAGAAACAACAAAAAGUUAAAAAGUGGGGGGAUGAAGUUAAGAUGUAGAGUUUUUAUUAGUUUUUUGUUUGUUAAUGCAAACAGUGUUACCAGGUUAAAAUAAUGGGUUACAAAAUAGUAUUUGUAAUCCUUAUGGUAACCUCAAACCUAAAAACAUACACUGGAUACAUAAAAAAUAAAAAGCAAAAACCUAAAUCAUAUCACCAGAGCAAACUACCUUCCCUAAAGGAAGACAGGAAGAAAAGAAAGAAGAAGACCACAAAACAACCAGAAAACAAAUAAAUAACAAGGCAGGAGUAAGUCUUUACUUAUCGAUAAUACAUUGAAUGGAAAUAUGGACUAAACUCUCCAAUCAAAAGACAUAGACUGGCUGAAUGAAUGGAGAAAACAAGACCCAUUGAUCUGUUGCCUACAAGAAACACACUUAAACUAUAAAGACACACAUAGGCUGAAAGUAAAGAGUUGGAAAGAGUUAUUCCAUGCCAAUGGAAACCAGGAAAAAGAGAAGGAGUAUUGAUUUUGAUACAAAAACUAUGAGACAAAUAAAGUCACUAUACAAUGAUAAAGGGGUUAAUAUGGUUUCCAUUUGUGCCCCACCCAAAUUUCGUGUUCUAUUGUAAUCCUCAAUGUUGGAGGUGGGGCCUGGUGGGACGUGAUUAGAUCAUGGGGGUGGAUCUUUCAUGACUAAUUCAGCACCAUCUUCUUAGUGCUGUUCUCAUGAUAGUGAGUUCUUCUGAAAUCUGGUUGCUUAAAAGUGUGUAGCACCUCUCCACACCACCCGCUUGCCUUGGUCUACUCCUGCUAUGUAGAUGCUUGCUCCCACUUUGCAUUAUUCCAUGAGUAAAAGCUCCCUCAGGCCUUCCCAGAAUCAGAUGCCGCUAUGCUUCCUGAACAGCCUGUGGAACUAUGAGCCAAUUCAACCUCUUUUCUUCAUAAAUUAACAAGUCUUGGGUAUUUCUUUAUAGCAGUGUGAGAACAGAAUAAUACAGAAAAUUGGUAAAGAGGAGUGAGGCAUUGCUAGAAAGAUACCUGAAAAUGUGGAAACAGCAGUGGAACUGGGAAAUAGACAGAGGUUGGAAGAGUGUGGAGGGCUCCGAAGAUAGGAAGAUGAGGGGAAGUUUGGAAUUUCUUAGAGAUUUGUUAAAUUGUUUUGACCAAAAUACUGAUGGUGAUAUGGACAAUGAAGUCCAGGCUGAGGAGGUCUCAGAUGGAGAUGAGGGACUUAUUGGGACCUGGAGUGAAGGUCACUUUUGUUAGGACAUUGUGGUUGGAGACAUUGUGCCCCUGCCCUAGGAAUCUGUGGAACUUUGAACUUGAGAGCGAAGAUUUAGGGUAUCUGGCAGAAGAAAUUUCUAAGCAGCAAAGCGUUCAAGACGUGGCCUGGCUGCUUCUGGUAGUCUGUGCUCAUAUUUGUGAGCAAAGACAUGACAAGAAACUGGAACUUAUAUUUAAAAAGGAAGCAGAGUGUAAAAGUUUGGAGAAUUUGCAGCCUGGCCAUGUUGUAGAAAAGAAAAAAACCAUUUUCUGGAGAGGAAUUCAAGCUAGCUGCAGAAAAUUGCAAGUAACAAGGAGCAAAAUGUUGAUAGCCAAGAUAGUGGGAAAAACACCUUGAAGGCAUUUCAGAUACCUUGGGGGCAGCCUCUCCCAUCACAGGCCCAAAGGCCUAGGAGGGAAGGAUGGUUUCCUGGGCCAGGCUCAGGGUCCUGCUGCCCUGCACAACCUCAGGAAACUGCUCUCCAAAUCCCAGCUGCUCCAGCUCCAGCUUCAGCUCAAAGGGCCCCAGGUAUAGCUCAGGCUGCUGCUCCAUAGGAUGCAAGUUAUAAGCCUUAGUGGCUCCCGUGUGGUGUUAAAUUAAGCCUGUAGGUGCACAGAGUGCAAGAAUUGAGGCUUGGGAGCCUCCAACUAGAUUUCAGAGUAUGUGUGGGAAAGCCUGGAUGUCCAGGCAGAAGCCAGCUGCAGGGACAGAGCCCUCAUGGAGAACCUCUACUAGGGUAGUGUGGAGGGGAAAUUUGGGGUUGGAGUUCCCACACAGCUUCCCCUCUGGUGUACUGCCUAGUGGAGCUGUGAGAAGACAGCCACUGUCCUCCAGAUUCCAGGAUGAUAGAUCUGCCAAUGACAGCUUGCACUGUACAACUGGAAAAGCCACAGGCAGUCAAUGCCAGCCCGUGAAAGCAGUGACAGUGGCUUACCCUGCAAAGUCCCAGGGGCUGAGCUGCCCAAGGCCUUGGGAGCCCACCCCUUGCACCAGUGUGCCCUGGAUGUGAGAUAUGGAGUCAAAGGAGAGUAUUUUGGAGCUUUAAGAUUUAAUGACUACCUGCUGGGUUUCAGACUUGCAUGGGUCCAGUAGCCCCUUUCUUUUGGCCAAUUUCUCACUUUUGGAAUGGGAGUGUUUACCCAAUUCCUGUACCCCCACUGUAUGUUGGAAGUAACUAACUGUUUUUUUAUUUUGUAAGCUCACAGGUGGGAGAGACUUGCCUUGUCUCAGGUUGAGACUCUGGACUUUGGACUUUUGAAUUAAUGCUGGAAUGAGUUAAGACUUUGAGGGACUGUUGGGAAGAUAUAACUGUAUUUUGCAGUAUGAGAAGGACAUGAGAUUUGGGAGACACCAGAGGUGGAAUAAUAUGAUUUGGAUCUGCAUCCCCACCAAAAUCUCAUGUUCAAUUGUAAUCCUAAAUUUUGGAGGUUGAGCCUGGUGGAAGAGGAUUGGAUAAUGGGGGUGGUUUCUCAUGGUUUAACACCAUCCCCCUGGGUGCUGUUCUCAUGACAGUGAGUGAGUUAUUGUGAGAUCUGAUUGUUUAAAAGUGUGUGCCACCUCCUCCCACUUUCCUCCUGCUCCAGCCAUGUAAGACAGGCUUGCCUCCCCUUCACCUUUUGUCAUGAUUGUAAGUGUUCUGAGGCCUCCCCAGCCAUGCUUCCUGUACAGCCUGCAGAACUGUGAGCCAAUUAAACCUCUUUUCUCUAUAUAUUACCCAGUCUCGGGUAUUUCUUUAUAGCAGUGCAAGAAUAGACUAAUACAGGGUUCAAUUCAGCAAGAGGAUAUAACAAAUAUAAAUAUAUAUGCACUCAACACUGCAGCACCCAGAUAUAUAAAGCAAAUACGAUUAGAGCUAAAGAGAGAGAGUGACCCCAAUACAAUAAUAGCUGGAGACUUCAACACCACAUUUUCAGCACUGGACAGAUCUUCCAGACAGAAAAUAAAAAAGAAACAUCAGACUUAAUCUGCACUGUAGAUCAAAUGGAUCUAAUACAUACUUGCAGAACAUUUUAUCCAAUGGCUGCAGAAUACACAUUCUUUUUUAGCACAUGUAUCAUUCUCAAGGAUAGACCAUAUGUUAGGUCACAAGUCUUAAAACAUUAAAAAAGUUGAAUACCAUCAAGCAUCUUCUCUGACCACAGUGGAAUACAACUAGAAACUAAUAACAAGAGGAAUUUUUGAAACUACAAAUACAUGAAAAUUAAACAAUAUGCUCCUGAAUGACCAUUGAGUCAAUGAAGAAAUUAAGAAGGAAAUUGAACAAUUUCUUGAAACAAAUGAUAAAGGAAACACAACAUACCAAAACCUAUGGGAUACGGCAAAAGCAGUACUAAGAGGCAAAUUGAUAGCUAUAAGUGCCUACAUGAAAAAAGAGGAAAAACUUCAAAUAAGCAAUUUAACAAUGAACCUUAACCAGAAAAGCAAGAGCAAAACAAACACAAAAUUAGAAGAAAACAAAUAAUAAAAAUUAGAGCAUAAAUAAAUAAAAUUGAAAUAAAAAUCAAUGCAAAAGAACAAUGAAACAAAAAGUUGCUUUUUUUCAAAAGUUAAACAAAACUGACAAGCCUUUAGCAAGACUGAGAAAAAAGAGACAAGAUACAAAUCAGAAAUGAAAAAGACAUUACAACUGACACUGCAGAAAUUCAAAGGAUCAUUAGGGGCUACUAUGAGCAACUCUAUGCCAAUAAAUUGGAAAAUCUAGAAGAAAUUGACAAUUCCUAGACACAUACAACCUACUGAGACUGGACCAGGAAGAAAUCCAAAACCUGAACAGACUAAUAACAAGUAACAAGGUUGAAGCCAUAAUAAAAAGUCUCCCACUAAAGAAAACCAAGGACCCGAUGGCUUCACUGUUGAAUUCUACCAAACAUUUAAAGAAGAACUAAUACCAAUCCCACUCAAGCUAUUGAAAAAUAGAGGAGGAGAGAAUAUUUCCAAAGUCAUUCUAGGAGACCAGUAUCACCCUGAUACCAAAACCAGACAAAGACACAUCAAAAAAAGAAAACUGCUGGCCAAUUUCUCUGAUGAAUAUUGAUGCCAGAAUCCUCAGCAAAAUAUUAGCAAACUAAAUUCAACAAUACAUUAAAAAGAUCAUUCAUCAGGGUCGGGUGCAGUGGCUUAAGCCUCUAAUCCCAGCACUUUGGGAGGCCGAGGUGGGCAGAUCACCUGAGGUCAGGAGUUCAAGACCAGCCUGACCAACAUGGUGAAACCUCGUCUCUACUGAAAAUACAAAAUUAGCCGAGUGUGGUGGUGCAUGCCUGUAAUCCCAGCUACUCAGGAGACUGAGGCAGGAGAAUCACUUGAACCCAGGAGGUGGAGGUUGCAGUGAGCUGAGAUUGUGGCACUGCACUCCAGCCUUGGUGACAGAGUGAGACUCCAUUAAAAAAAAAAUCAUUUAUCAUGACCAAGUGGGAUUUAUCCCUGGAAUGCAAGGAUGGUUCAACACAUGCAAAUCAAUCAAUGUAAUACAUCAUAUCAAAAAGAAUGAUUAAAACCAUAUGAUUAUUUCUAUUGAUGCUGAAAAAGUAGUUUAUAAAAUCCAACAUCCCUUCAUGAUAAAAACCCUCAAAAAACUGUAUAAAAGAAAUAUACCUCAACGUAAUAGCCAGAUAUGACAGACCCACAGCUAGUAUCAUACUGAAUGGGGAAAAAGUGAAAGACUUUCCUAUAAGAUCUGGAACACAACAGGGAUGUUCACUGUCACCACUGUUAUUCAACAAAGUACUGGAUGUUCUAGCUAGAGCGAUCAGACAAGAGAAGAUAUAAAGGCCAUCCAAACUGGAAAGGGAGAAGUUAAAUUACCCUAGUUUGCAGAUGAUAUGAACUUAUAUUUGGAAAAAACCUAAAGGCUCCACAGGAAAACUAUUAGAAUCAAUAAAUUCAGUAAAGUUGCAGGACACAAAAUCAACAUAUAAAAACCAGUAGCAUUUCUAUAUGUCAACAGUGAACAAUUUGAAAAAUUUUAAAUUUAAGAAGGUAAUUUCAUUUACAAUAGCCACACAUAAAAUUAAAUACCUAGGAAUUAACCAAAAAUGUGCAAGAUAUCUAUGAGGAGAAUUAUAAAACAUUGAUGAAAGAAAUUGAAGAGGACACAAAAAAAAUGGAAAAAAUUCCAUCUUUAUGGAUUGGAAGAAUCAAUAUUGUUAAAAUGUCCAUACUACCCAAAGCAAUCUACAGAUUUAAUGCAAUCCCUAUCAAAAUACCAAUAAUAGUCUUCAGAGAAAUAGAAAAAAAAAUCCCAAAAUUUAUAUGAAAACACAGAAUGCCCAGAAUAGCCAAAAUUAUAUUAAGCAAAAAGAUCAAAACUGGAGGAAUCACAUUACCUGACUUCAAAUUAUGCUACAGAGCUAUAAUCACCAAAACAGCAUGGUACUGACAUAAAAACAGACACAUAGUCCAACAGAACAGAAUAGAGAACCUAGAAACAAAUCCACACACUCACAGGGAACUCAUUUUUGACAGAGUUGCCAAGUACUUAUACUGGAGAAAAGAAAAGACAGUCUCUUCAAUGAAAUGGUGCUGGGAAAACUGGAUAUCCAUAUGCAGAAGAAUGAAACUAGACCCCUACCUCUCACUGUAGACAAAAGUCAAAUCAAGGCUAGGCAUGGUGGCUUACACCUGUAAUCUCAGCACUUUGGGAGGCUGAGGCAGGCGUAUCACGAGGUGAAGAGAUUGAGACCAUCCUGACCAACAUGGUGAAACUCACCCCCCCCCACCCACUAAAAAUACAAAAAUUAGCUGGGCGUGAUGGCAUGUGCCUGCAGUCCUAGCUACUCAGGAGGCUGGGGCAGGAGAAUCGCUUGAACCCAGGAGGUGGAGGUUGCAGUGAGCUGAGAUUGUGCCACUGCACUCCAGCCUGGCGACAGAGCAAGACUCCAUCUCAAAAAAUAAAAAAUAAAUUCAAAAUGUAAUAAAGACUUAAAUCUAAGACCUCAAACAUGAAACUACUAUAAGAAAACAUUGGGGAAAACCUCCAGGACAGUAGUCUGGCCAAAAAUUUCUUGAGCAAUACCCCACAAGCACAGGCAACCAAAAUAAAACUGGACAAAUAGUAUCACAUCAAGUUUAAAAGCUUCUACAAAGCAAAGGAUACAAUCAAUAAAGAGACAACCCACAGAAUGGGAGAAAAUAUUUGCAAACUACCCAUCUGACAAAGAAAUAAUAACCAGAGUAUAUAAGAAGCUCAAACAACUCUAUAGUAAAAAAAAAAAAAAAAAAAAUUCUAAAAGUCUAAGUAAAAAAAUGGGCAAAAGAUUUGAAUAGACAUUUCUCAAAAGAAGACAUACAGGCCAUGCGUGGUGGCUCAUGCCUGUAAUCCCAGCACUUUGGGAGGCCCAGGCGGGUGGAUCACUUGAGGUCAGGAGUUCGAGACCAGCCUGACCAACAUUGUGAAACUCCGUCUCUACUAAAAAUACAAAAAUAAGCCAGGCAUGGUGGCGCACACCUGUAAUCCCAGCUACUCAGGAGGCUGAGGCAGGAGAAUCGCUUAAACCUGGGAGACAGAGGUUGCAGUAAGCCGAGAUCACACCACUGCACUCCAGCCUGGGCAACAAAGUGAGACUCCGUCUCACAAAAAAAAAAAAAAAAAAAAAAAAAAAAGAAAAGAAAAAGGAAGAAGACAUACAAAGCCAGGUACAGUGGCUUAUGCCUCUAAUCCUAGCACUUUAGGAGGCCAAGGCAGAUGGAAUUGAGCCCAGAAGUUUGAGACCAGACUGAGCAAUAUGGUCAAACCCCAAUUCUGCAAAAUACAAAAAUAAAAAAUAGCUGGGAGUGGUGGUGCACACCUGUAGUCCCAGCUACUUAGGAAGCUGAGAUGGGAGGAUCACUUGAGCCUGCAGUGAAUCAUAAUUGCACCAAUGCACUCCAGCCUGGGCGACAGAGUGAGAGACAUUGUCUCAAAAAAAAGAAAAAGAAAAAAAAGAAAGGACAUAAAAAUGACAAACAGGCAUAUGAAAAGGUGCUGAUGAUUAUUGAUCCUCAGAGAAAUGCAAAUCAAAACUGCAAUGAGAUAUAAUCUCACCCCAGUUAAAAUGGCUUAUAUCCAAAAGACAGGCAAUAACAAAUGCUGGUGAGGAUGUGGAUAAAAGGGAACCCUCGUACACUGUUGAUGGGAAUGUAAAUUAGUACAACCACUAUGGAUAACAGUUUAGAGGUUCCUCAGAAAACUAAAAAUUGAGUUGCGAUAUGAUGCAACAAUCCUACUGCUGGGUAUAUACCCCACAAAAGACAAAACCAGCGUUUUGCAUGGUGGCUCACACCUGUAAUCCCAGCACUAUGGGAGGCCGAGGAGGGCAGAUCACUUGAGCCCAGAAGUUCAAGACCAGCCCGAGCAACAUGGCAAAACCUGAUUUCUACAAAAUACAAAAAAAAAAUUAGGCAGUUGUAGUGGUUCACACCUAUAGUCCUAGCUACUGUGGAGGCUGAGGUAGGAUCACUUGAACCUAGGAGGUGGAGGUUGCAGUGAGCCAAGAUCAUGCCACUGCACUCCAGCCUGGGUGACAAAGUGUGACCCUGUCUCAAAAAAGAAAAUCAGUAUAUGGAAGAGGUAUCUGCACUCCUAUGUUUUUUACAACACUGUUUACAAUAGCUAAGAUUUGGAAGCAACCUAAAUGUCUAACAGCAGAUGAAUGGAUAAGGAAAAUUUGGUAUGUAUACACAAUGAAGUACUAUUCAGCCAUAAAAAGGAAUGAGAUCCAGUCAUUUGCAACAGCAUGGAUGGAAGUGGAGAUCAUUAUGUUAAAUGAAAUAAGCCAGGCACAGAAAGGCAAACAUGGCAUGUUCUCACUUAUUUGUGGGACCUAAAUUCAAAACAAUUGAACUAAUGGACAUAAAGAGUAGAAGAAUGGUUACCAGAGGCUAGGAAUGGUAGUGGGGGGCUGAAGGGAAGGUGGGGAUGUUUAAUCGGUAAAAAAAAAUUUAGAAGAAUAAGACCUACUAUUUGAUAGCACAAUAGGGGGACUAUAGUCAAUAAUGCACAUUUAAAAAUAGUGUAAUUGAAUGGUUUGUAACUCAAAGGAUAAAUGCUUGAGGGAAUGGAUACCCCAUUCUCCAUGAUGUGCUUAUUUCACAUUGCAUACCUGUAUCAAAACAUCUCAUGUACCCCAUAAAUAUAUGCAGCUAUUAUGUACCCAC
rnacentral:lncRNA from 1 species